AUUGAACGCUGGCGGCAUGCCUUACACAUGCAAGUCGAACGGCAGCACGGGAGCAAUCCUGGUGGCGAGUGGCGAACGGGUGAGUAAUAUAUCGGAACGUGCCCAGUCGUGGGGGAUAACGCAGCGAAAGUUGUGCUAAUACCGCAUACGAUCUAUGGAUGAAAGCGGGGGAGUCGCAAGACCUCGCGCGAUUGGAGCGGCCGAUAUCAGAUUAGGUUGUUGGUGAGGUAAAAGACUCACCAAGCCUGCGAUCUGUAGCUGGUCUGAGAGGACGACCAGCCACACUGGAACUGAGACACGGUCCAGACUCCUACGGGAGGCGGCAGUGGGGAAG
rnacentral:rRNA from 1 species